rnacentral:rRNA from 1 species
AGAACGAACGCUGGCGGCAGGCUUAACACAUGCAAGUCGAACGCCCCGCAAGGGGAGUGGCAGACGGGUGAGUAACGCGUGGGAAUCUACCCAGAACUUCGGAACAACUGAGGGAAACUUCAGCUAAUACCGGAUACGCCCUACGGGGGAAAGAUUUAUCGGUUUUGGAUGAGCCCGCGUAAGAUUAGCUAGUUGGUGAGGUAAUGGCUCACCAAGGCGACGAUCUUUAGCUGGUCUGAGAGGAUGAUCAGCCACACUGGGACUGAGACACGGCCCAGACUCCUACGGGAGGCAGCAGUGGGGAAUAUUGGACAAUGGGCGCAAGCCUGAUCCAGCCAUGCCGCGUGAGUGAUGAAGGCCUUAGGGUUGUAAAGCUCUUUCAGUAGGGAAGAUAAUGACGGUACCUACAGAAGAAGCCCCGGCUAACUUCGUGCCAGCAGCCGC